AUAGCGAUCUAAAGGCUCUUAUAUUUCUUUACAAAGGGAGUACAUAUUACAUGUUACAAAUUAAGCUCCCAAACCAAAAUUGUUAAAUAUUACAUGGUUACAAAUUAAGCUCUCAACAGACCUUAUGAUAUUUAUUAGGGGAGUGCUUGGGAUUCAUUUGUGUAGUUCUUUCCUAAUACAAUUUUGCUACUCACUAAAUCAGUUAAUUGUUUUAAUUGGAAACCAAUAAAUGAUCAGUACUUACUUAUAUAUCUUCUUUGUCAAAUGUGCAAUAUUGAAAUAUAUAUUACGAACAAAAGGAGGCACCAAAACGCCGCUCUCCAUUAGAUCUAACAUUUCUGCGCUUUAGCCACUUCUAUCCCUCCAUGUAUGAGUAUCAAUUGAACAUCUGAAUGCUCACUUCUGAUAGAUAGUUUAACAGCUUGGAUGUGCUUUAACCACUAAUGUCCUUCCAUAAGAUGCUUUGACAUGUGCUGUCGAAAGGAUUUUUGUAAUGAAAACUGCAGAAACCCAUACAUAGUUCGCAUAUAAACAGAAAAUAAAAAUUAACCUCUCUUGUUAGCACUACAUAGUUCACUCAUAUUGUGCAUGCAAAGGCUACAUAUUCAGUUUGAGUGUAGUUAAAACAUCUUCCGAGGGCUUUAUUGUGCUUUCCUAGAUUGAUUCAUUUCUAGGAGAUUAUGUUAUGUUUUAUUAUUGUUCACAAAAAUUACUCCAUGCAAUUUUUUUCUUCAGCUCCCUUAUAUUGUUCUGAACCACUGAUCCAUACUCAAACCGAAUAGAGAGCUAACCAAUUUAGUGAGGCAAACAGAUUCAUGUUUCUUGCGGGCAAAGCAGUAUGUUCUAUUAAAUGAACGGCGGGUGAAAUUCAAGGUUUGUUAGAUUUCGGCAAUGAAAAACAACAUAUGGAAUUGGUCGACUUACCUGGACGCUUGGAGAAAGGAAAUGACGCAGAGAUGAUUUCCAGAGAGCCAUGGGGUAGUGAUGUGGCAGACGUCAUUUGUACCUCAUUGUGUGACUAGUGUAAUGAUGAUAAUUUUUUGGAGAGCCAUAAGCGUAGCAAAGAGACAUAGGUCAACGCAGACCUGGCUGUGAAAGAGAUUGUGAAUAGUGACAUAUGUAAAGAGGCCAAACUAACCAAGUCUGUGUGCAUGUGACUUGGCUGCAUUCUAUUGCAAUCACAUAUUCAAAGAAUUAAUCUUCUCAUUCCAUCUUCCAAUACGAGUUAAUUGUAUUAAAAAAUAUAUACCUUACCAGGGCAUGGUACCUAAUAUUUGGCUCACGUACUGAAUAAACUUUUGCCCAGAAGUGCCACAUAUUAGUACAUCAUCUCUUUUUCAGCAUUUGGGUGCAUAACCUGUAAUUAGAAAAUGAAUGUAUGACAGACUGUUUUCAAGAUAUUAUCAGUCUUCUCUUUACGUCUAUCAGGCCAGCAUGAUGGCAAAUCUGAGCAAGCUAUUCCAAUGUGUUGAAGACCUGCAACAGAGCACAGAUGGAUCGAUCUUCUGACCAUGAGCUAUGGAAUUCAUGACAUCAACUGUAGAUAUGGCAGUCUGAAUAAUUUCUGAAGGGUAUGUCUUUACACUGAAAUUGAUAGAAGUUCAUGUACGAGAUUAACAUAACAAUACCAAAAUCUAGCUAGGCUGGAAUCUUCUCCAUAUUUGAACCGAACUAAGACUUGCGGGAAAUGUCCAGGUGUUCCUCAGGUUUCCCAAAAAAAUAAAAUAUGCACCCAAGUAUAUCAAGUGAUACUGCAGUUUUUAGAACCUCAAAGAUGCAAAAAAAAUCUGAACAAUUUUCUUCAUAACAGAUAAGCAUUAGCACAAAGACCACUCCAUCCUAGUUGAUUAAACAGGCAAAUAUCCAUUAAAACUGAUUUAUGAGAAGUGCAAAAGGGCAUAUUUAUUGCUAUUCGUGAGCACAAGUUUUUCAGGGAGAAAUCGAUGCUACCUCACUUGUGAAUUGCACAGUUCUAUAUUUCUUGUCAAUACCAGAGUUCCCUCAAAAACUUGCGAGUGAUUUUCUCAAGUUUCAUGGACAAUGAAAAAAGUUUAUUAGAAAAGGAAUAAUUGUGCAUUAACAUCUAAUUGGAGUUUGAAUGCAUAUCAAUGUCAGAGGUGAACUGAAGAUGACAAGAAAGAAAAAAAUAACUAACAUUUAAAUGAUGCUUAAAUUGAGAUGAUGUGGAAAACCAUUUCUUGCUUCGAUUCCAACAACAACUGAGUUGUGCAAACUUUUGAGAGAUGUGCUAACAGGUAGACAGGUCGAGCUAUUUAAGUCCAACCUGAAUAACAUGACAACAUGGUUGGCAGGGAAAACAGGAGCGAGAUGUUGUGGAAAACCAUCUCUUGCAUCAAUUCCAUCAGCAACUGAUUUGUGCAAACUUCUGAUUUCAUGGUCAUGUCAAAAGAGUUUACCACAGCGUAAUGCAUAAUAAGAUGUCAAAAUAUAUCAUCAUUAGACAAGUGAACAACACCAAUAUAUACUAGGGCAUUCUAGCAUACUGAUCCUGCAAGGUGGUGAUCUCCGAAUGUUGGUGCACUUAUGUCGGGAGUCGUAUCAUGUGACCUAAUGCACACGGAUGUUGGGCCUAUGACAAGUGGGCCUCGAUCUGAAAGUGCAACUAUCCCUGGGUGGUUUUGGUAAUUCCUAACAACAUAUAGCUCAUUGAGCUAAUGCUACUUGAAGAUAAAUAUUUCAGGAAAAGCUCAAUGAUUGGUAUGGCAUGGAUUAGAAAGUGGACCCCUCAAAAUGCUAAGGACAAAAGAUUGGCUCAAGCUAUAAGCACAAGACUCUACAUUUUACUUUUAGUGAUCCAAGAUCACAUUGAAUCCAUAGGAAAAGCCAAUACUGUUAAAAGGGGGUGAGGUGUUGCUUAAUGAGUUGCUUGCUCAAAAUGCUUAGUGAUAUGCUCCAAAAACCCUCAACUACUUUCCCAUAUUCACAUAUGUCCCAAACCAAAAGUCAAACUCGGCCGCACCGAAAUCUUCUAUCCGGCGCCACUGAGUUCACUUGACAUAGCUACUGCCAGAAAC
rnacentral:lncRNA from 1 species